CCAAGGCUGGUGAGAGCCAAGGAGUGGCUGGCUGGCUGCAGCAACACAGACCUAGCUAGGAGUGAUUUGCAUGCGGGAGGCCGUUUGGACCGCCAGCGACUCAGAGGACGAGGAGGAAUGGCUCGAUGUGGUCACAGAGGAGGCUGCUCUCGAAAACAUCAGAGAGCAGCUCCAUGGCCGAGAAAAGAAUUCAGCCAAAUUCCUCAGGAUGGGUCACCACGUGGCACAGCUGGCUCUGUUCAUCGGUGACCCAGCCAAGGCAUCAGCCAUCAGGCCAGGGAGGGGGUUUACCGGCUCUACCAGCUGCUGCUGCACCAGAAGGGCCUGACCAUCCAUGAGUUUGAAGACCUGUGGAUCUGGGACUGGCACCAGGACAGCAGGCUCCUGGGGUACAAAAACACAGCCAGGGUCGA